AAAUAAUUCAAUCGGUAAGUAGCGACGGGCGGUGUGCACAAAGGGCAGGGGACGUAAUCAAUGCGAGUUAAUGACUCACACUUACUGGGAAUUCCAAUUUCAUGUGAACAGUUUCAGUUCACAAUCCCAAGCAUGAAAGUGGUUCAGCGGUUUACCCGGACCUCUCGGUCUAGGAAAUACACGUUGAUACUUUCAUUGUAGCGCGCGUGCAGCCCAGGACAUCUAAGGGCAUCACAGACCUGUUAUUGCUCAAUCUCAUUAUUGCUAGACGCAAUUUGUCCAUUUAAGAAGCUAGUGUCCUUAUAAUGGGACAAACCAACAGGUACGGCUCCACUUAUAUAAA